GUCUGACUAAGGAUUUAUAUGCCUGUUCCUUUACUGAGGUGGAACUGAUGUUAAGGUUCCUUCUUAGAAAACCUAGUGUACUGUUAGCCUUAUUACAGAUGGUGUUUAUGUGACUGUGCCAUUUUAGGUCUGAUUGUAUUGUCACGCCUAGGUAUUUUGCUUUGUCCACAUGUUCAAGAACAUGGCCGUGUAGAGUGUAAUUGUAAGUAAUUGGAUUUUUAUUUCGACUGAUGGACAUAACAUUACACUUGUCAGGAUGAAAAGCCAUUUUCCAAGUAUGUUCCCAGAUGCCUAGUGUGUUUAGAUCUUUUUGUAGGGUUUCGCAGUCGCUGUUAGAUUUUAUAACCAGAUAAGCAAUAGUGUCGUCUGCGAAAAGGCGUAUGGUGGAAUUUAGCCCAACUGGAAUAUCAUUAAUAUAAAAUAGAAACAGACUUGGGCCCAGAACAGAUCCUUGAGGCACUCCUGACUUCACAGGGACAUAGCCUGAAGUCUCACCCUCUAGAAUAACUGCUUGGGUACGACAUGAUAAAAAACCCUGUAUCCAUGCAUUUGUUUUCCCCUGUAUCCCAUAGUAAUUUAGUUUGUGUGAUAAUAAAUUAUGGCUGACUUUAUCAAAAGCUUUAGAAAAGUCCAUUAUGAGUACAUCUGUUUGUUUUGAAGUUUCAAUAUUUUUAGUGACAUCAUCUAUAAAUUCCAAAAGCUGAGUUUCACAAGAUCUAUUUUUUCGAAAGCCGUGUUGAAGGGGAUACAGGAUGUUAUGGUUGUCUGCGUGUGUCAUGAUUGCGCUAACUACAACAUGUUCUAUAAGUUUGCAACAUAUGCAUGUUAAAGAAAUAGGCCUAUAAUUCUCUGGAUUAUAUUUGGACCCUUUCUUAAAGAUGGGAGAAACAUGUGCAGUACGCCAGUCA
rnacentral:lncRNA from 1 species